AACCAAGGUACCGGGAAAAACGAAAGCAGAAUCUAGAAAAACAUGUAUCACGUGAUUUUUGCGUAAGAGUUUACGGCGUUAGUUAUUUCGGUUGCAUUUUUUUGGCGUCGCACAUAAAUAAAGCUGGUAUAACAUUGGCUCUGGUUUCUAAGUAUUCAAUCAGAAUGUCUAACGAGCUGAGGAAAGAAAUAGUAAGCAAAUAUUGGCAAGAAUUUCGAAAUGUUUCUGACCCUCAGGUCAAAUUUAAAUAUUGGCAGUUGUAUUGUAAGCAGUUCAUGGAGCCUGCAAAUCAGGCAAGGAUUCUUGCUUAUAACAAGUUCAGAUUUACAAAAUUGGUUGUUCCAUCCUUGGUUGUACUUGGCGCACUCACCUUAAAUAACAUUUUUCAUCUGGUUAAAAAAUCUUAAGAAUGUAAUUAUUAAUAUUGAAAUAUAAUUUCACUACUUUCAUAAAUAAUUGUUA
rnacentral:lncRNA from 1 species